UGCUCGUGCCUGUGCGAGGCAAGAGGAAAGGGUGAGCGAUUUCAGGAUGCCACAGUAAAACUGAUGGAUUCAUCCCCAGGGCUCUGCUGGACUGCGAUUUCUGACACAUCAGCUGUGGAAAUCCAGGGUAAUUUUGCCGAAGCCUUUCCAGAUAUCCGCCUGUGUGAAUGAGACCAGGAUCUGGCCUGGCUGCUUUAAAGAAACACUGCCCAGUCAUUGAGCUCCAAGAUGCAUGUUUUUGCCUUCUGCUGCUUUUAGCAAAUGUUAUAUGCAGUAUUCGUACAAGGCAUUUCUUCCUGUUAAAUGAAAAGUMUCUUUUUUUAGAAAUGCUCCUGCAGUGCUGGAAACUACGGUGUUUCUUUCGGUGAGAGAGGUCAUGAGACCCUCAGGAAGCUGGGGAGCUGAUCCCCCUCUCCGUGCCCGCUGGAAAGGCAACGGCGGGUUGGGACCGACCCUGCAGCAGCUCCAGCAGCUGGAGCCUCAGGCUGCCUGAUUUAAGGCACUAACAUUAGCACAGGCUGAAACAGGGACUGCUGCCGCAGCCUUUUCUCCCGGACGGGACCCUCACCCGGGUGAGCGACUCCCUGGGCUUUUUGGGAGCUCCUGGCUGAGCAGCCGCCCUGGCCCCGGUCUCCAGGCUGCCUGCCCGGGUGCUGCUGCGGGCUGUCCAUGCCGGAGCGCCUCGCCAGCUCGGAGCUAACGACGUGGCAGCAGCAGGAUGAGCAAAUAUUCGAAGAGAACAACGAGACCACUAACCUCCUUCAACCUGUGAUCUUGGACACGGAUUUUGCCAUUAUUCCAAAAGGGGAAGAACAUGUGCUCCAGCCCGCCCAGACUGCCUGGCUCCCUCUGUUCAGUUCAUAUCUAGAUGACUGCAGAUGUGCCUCGUGCAGUUCUCCUGUGAGCUCCCCGUACAAUAAUCAAGUGCAGUGACCAGAAAGGUCUCUCACUGCAGCUCCAUUAACAUAAGCUCCCUACUGUGAUUCUGAAGAGUCCCCAGAUGCGUAAAUGCCAUUAUUUUGUAUUGACUAACCCAGCAUCAGGAGAGGCAUGGGGGAUGGAGRGAAGAGAACAGCAAACAAAAUAGUGCACAGCUUCAAACAGGCUGUUUCAAAUGACAUGAGUCAUCCAGGGGCCUCGUAACCCACCUUGGGYCAUGCCCUUUGGAGGACAGUACCUCCUUCUGUAGUGCAGGACUUCCCCAACCCAAGUAACUUUUCCACUUUGAAAAAUAAACGAGGAGGUGGGCUUCCUUCUGCUUUCCA
rnacentral:lncRNA from 1 species